rnacentral:miRNA from 1 species
AUCCUUUCCCUUAUGUUA